AACUUUAGGCAGUGUCAAUAUUGUAGCCAGUGAAGUUUAUCCAAGAUGCAAUGAUUGCUAAAUGAAAGCUCAAGGGUCAGUUUUCCAAAGUAUCUCACAAAUAUUUUAAUAGAAUUUUAGAUGCUGUAAGUUAAAA